rnacentral:rRNA from 1 species
AAUAUUUGACAAUGGGGGGAACCCUGAUCCAGCCAUUCCGCGUGUGUGAAGAAGGUCUUCGGAUUGUAAAGCACUUUACGUUGGGAGGAAGAGUUGUAGGUUAAUACCUUGCAAUUUUGACUUUACCUACAGAAUAGCCACCGCCUAACUUGCUGCCACCAUCCGAGGUAAUACGAAGGGUGCAAGCGUUAAUCGGAAUUACUGGGCGUAAAGCGCGCGUAGGUGGUUCGUUAAGUUGGAAGUGAAAGCCCCGGGCUUAACCUGGGAAUUGCUUUCAAAACUGACGAGCUAGAGUACGGUAGAGGGUAGUGGAAUUUCCUGUGUAGCGGUGAAAUGCGUAGAUAUAGGAAGGAACAUCAGUGGCGAAGGCGACUACCUGGACUGAUACUGACACUGAGGUGCGAAAGCGUGGGGAGCAAACAGG